GGACCAAUAAAAUAGACAAACACGAUGCUUCAAGAAAGCACUAAAAUUUGUAGGGAUAAUCUUUGAAUAAUAACCUAAAAGAUAGACGGUUUGGAUAAUUGAAAUACAAUGCGGAGUGAGUCCUCAUUGUACCCCAGUGACGAAUCCAUAGAGGAGCAACGGUAGUCAAUUGACCCCCGCAAUUAGGGGUGGGCACUCAAACCUACAAACCAGAAAUCCGAGCCGAACCGCACCGAACUAAACUGGAAAAAAACCGAAUUAACCAAAAAGUCAACAACCGGUCAAAAACCGAACCGGACCGGUUUGGACUAGUUUUGGAUCCGGUUCCAU
rnacentral:lncRNA from 1 species